UACGUAGGGUGCGAGCGUUAAUCGGAAUUACUGGGCGUAAAGCGUGCGCAGGCGGUAAUGCAAGACAGAUGUGAAAUCCCCGGGCUUAACCUGGGAACUGCAUUUGUGACUGCAUUGCUGGAGUGCGGCAGAGGGGGAUGGAAUUCCGCGUGUAGCAGUGAAAUGCGUAGAGAUGUGGAGGAACACCGAUGGCGAAGGCAGCCCCCCUGGGUCAAGAUUGACGCUCAUGCACGAAAGCGUGGGGAGCAAACAGG
rnacentral:rRNA from 1 species